GCCGCAAGAAAGACGUCCUUUUUUCCGGGAGCUGCAUGGGGACUGCAGGAGUUUAAAGCCUCGCUGUGUUUUAUGGGGAAUAGUUAUUAAUAUUGGGUCAAAUAAUCCAGUAUUUCUUCACUCUGGUGCUGAAGGUCCGCUGCGCUGCUCUUACUGUGUUUCCUUUUUACUCUGUUUUCAUUUAAAGUCCCUCAGUCUUAAAACAGUGGCACUAGCGGGCCUCCAGCGGGCCUUCAGCACCGUUAGUGAUUAUUACCCUGCCGGAUUAGAUUAGAGCAGCGCGGCGGAGCUCUGUAAGUCCCGGUGCUGCUGCAACUGGAUUUUAUAAAGAUAUGAGAAAAGAAUGCUUUCGUCGUGGAUUUAACAUGAAAAGGUAAGCUGCUGUUAUGUUCUGAUCUGUGCAGGCAGUUUAUGCACUUAACGUAACUCCGUUAGACAACUAACUUACAGAGCUAGCGUUUGUUGUGUCUCCGGCUUAGUUUUCUGCAGUCCAUGAUUUAUUAGCUAAGGUGUUUAGUUUAUUUUGACCCCAAACAGCAGCAUUCACUGCAUUUUGCAUACUAUUAACUAACCGCGUGAAUCCACUGUACGUGCAAGUUAGCGUUAACUUCAUCACGAACGAGUAACGGAUUAGUAAACACACUCUUGUCUUUUUUUUGAAUCCUCACAGUUUCUGUCAGAAAACACUGAAAGAAAACUUCUCCUCUGUCUCUGUUUAUACAGCGAUGGUUUGGGUUUAAAGCUGGGUUUGUUGUGCUGGAUAUUUGAUUAGGAGCAGGAGAUUUUAUAAGAUGUGUGGCUGCAUAAUUGUGAACUGAGAUCGCGGUCUGUGAAGUUACACCCGCAGCUAACCAGUGACUUUAAAAAACAAAUAAACACAGCUGUUACUGGACUUUAUGGGUUUUAAAAAAUGAGUUAAUUACUUUUAAAAGACUAGGCUACUAAUGUUGGCCCUGCUGAGUCCAGCUGAUCAUCCAGAAAUAAACAUGACCUAUGCUGGUCAAAAGCUAUUUAAAGAGCUAACCUCCCAGGGUGUGUUUGUUUUUGUUUUUUUUUCUGGUUUUGAGCAUUUUUUAAAGGAGGGAGUGUACGUCUGUGCUGCAGUAGAAGAGUGUAAUUUUAGAAAAGUUGCUGUAUUUGUCUCACUGUCUUAGAUAGUAUAGACUUUAAACAUGUUACUAAAAAUUUACACUGGACCGUGUUUUUAAAUACUUGCCAUUCUGGAUGUCCUGAACAUUUUCAUGCAUAUUUUUUAUGUCGGUUAGUUUUAUUUAUAUAAAGUAAGACCUGUAGAUCUACUUUAUUGGAUAAAUUGAUACAGCUACCAUGAACUGUUUUGUUUCUGUUCUGUAAAAUCAGGCCCAGUUCCAAAAGACACAACAUCCUCAGUGUCCUGGAGCUCCAGCUGAAGCACUGGCCACUCCACCUUCUCCAUCCCCACCCAAAAGAGGUACUUCUAAGGCAGCUAGUUGAAGGCGUGAUUGAGGUCCAUGCCAGAGGGGUUCUGCACUGUGACCUCAAGCCAUAGAACAUCCUGGUUCAGAUGUACAGUUAGGAACCACGCCUUCAUCUUCUGUUCUUCUGGACCUUCCUCAUGAGUGGUUUACCCAUGAGGCCAAAUCCUCCACAGUGUUGCAGAUAGGAAUCAUCCUGCUGUGUGUGAGAGGUGACCCUUCAACACCAGCACGGAGAUCACCUCAAAGAAGUCUCAGAUCAUCUCUCCACCAUCUGCUCUAUGACCCCUGGCUAAGUAUACACCACGACACAGCCACCACAUCAGGCACACCUCAGUCAGGUACCAUAUAAAACAAUAAUAAUAAUAAUUUUAAAAAAUCUAUAUUUUCAAUCUCUAGUUUAGAGAGUUCUCUAGUAGAGCUGGGCGAUUAAUUGAUUUUAUCGAUAAAUUCGAAUUUAUAGUUAAGGACAAUGUGUUUUUAUGAAAAUCGAUUUUCUGAGUUUUCUUUUUCACCACAGACGCUCCUCUGUGGGCACAGAGUGAGCUUAGCUAGCUCCCUCCAUACCUCCCUCCCUCCAGCGCGCGCACCCCCUGCCCCUCCCUCACUCCCUCCCUCCCUCCCUCC